rnacentral:snoRNA from 1 species
GGAGCAUAGUGGGAAUUUAAAAAAAUAUUUUUAGUAGUGUGCUACAUGAGAGGCAAGUUUUUCACUAACACUUUAUUCUGACCCAAUGAGUGGAGUUUGAUAGUAAUCCUUGCUACAAAU